CUAGGGUUUGUGGGUAGCAAUGUGCGGAGUUGUUAGGGAGAGGUGUGUGUGAGACCGAUAUUGAGCCUACGACCGCCAUAUAGUCUACCUGUUUCAGACAGAGAAAGUGUCAUUGCAUUGAUCUAGUGCUAAUCUAUGCAUUUGGAACUCAGGUUGGCAACGUUGUGAAAAGAAGAGCUUGGAUUUGAAAGUGACUUGAAGAAGAAUCAAUUCUACACCAGGACUCAAACAAAAACGGAUUAGUUCAUUUCAGUGGAGACGAGCGCUUAAGAACCGAAUUUGUUCAUGAAACCGUCAUAAAUCGUGUUUGGAGGUGGUAUUGAUCAUUAAAUAAAUCUCGUAGCAAGCUGUAAAACAGCAACACAAACCUCGUCCGUUGAUUGCAGGUACUGCCAAGCUGUUCUCGGACAUUUAGAAUUUUUACAGCCGACAGUUGAAGGACCUGGAUUCAUCAAAUUGCUGCUAUGUCGUCUGGAGCGGAGAGGAGACUAGAAAGCCGGCUAAGAAAGCUAGAAUCGAUGAUCACUGAUCCGAAGUCUGUAUUGAAUUUGGAAAGCCUUCUGGAUUCUAUGAAUGCCUUGGCUGUGGACUUGGACUACCCAGCGCUACGGAAAAACAAAAACAUAGAGGCCUUUCUGAACAGAUAUGAGAAGGUGGUGGGUUGCCUGCGCGAGCUGCAGGUUAAACUGGAGGACUUUGAAAGGGUGAAGCUGAUAGGCCGAGGAGCCUACGGGGAGGUGCAACUGGUACGACACAAGGCCUCCAGAAAUGUGUAUGCAAUGAAACAACUCAGCAAGUUUGAGAUGGUCAAACGCUCCGACUCUGCCUUCUUCUGGGAGGAGCGAGACAUCAUGGCCUUCUCCAACAGUCCCUGGGUAGUCCAGCUGUGCUGUGCCUUCCAAGAUGACCGUUAUCUCUACAUGGUCAUGGAGUUCAUGCCCGGCGGGGACCUAGUCACCUUGACGAUGAACUACGACAUGCCAGAGAAGUGGGCUCGCUUCUACUUGGCUGAGGUGGUUCUAGCUCUGGACGCCAUCCACUCCAUGGGCUUCAUCCACCGGGAUGUGAAGCCAGACAAUAUGCUACUGGAUGGGAAAGGACACCUCAAACUGGCCGAUUUCGGUACCUGCAUGAAGAUGGACUCAACGGGCAUGGUGCACUGUGACACGGCAGUGGGCACACCAGACUACAUUUCCCCAGAGGUCCUGAAGUCUCAGGGUGGUGACGGGUACUACGGCCGUGAGUGUGACUGGUGGUCUGUGGGUGUCUUCGUCUUUGAGAUGCUAGUCGGUGAAACUCCAUUCUACGCAGAUUCACUGGUGGGAACCUACGGAAAGAUCAUGGACCAUCAGAACUCCCUUUACUUCCCAGAAGACAUGGAGAUGUCCCAGAAUGCCAAGGACCUCAUCUGUGCCUUCCUAUCUGACAGGGAGGUGCGUCUGGGUCGCAACGGUGUGGACGAGAUCAAGAAACACCCCUUCUUCAGGAACGACCAGUGGACCUUCGAGACCAUCCGAGAGACGGUGGCUCCAGUGGUGCCAGAGCUGAACAGUGACAUAGACACCAGCAACUUUGAUGAGAUUGAGGAUGAUAAAGGAGACGCAGAGACCUUCCCUCCUCCCAGAGCCUUUGUGGGAAACCACCUGCCUUUCGUGGGCUUUACUUACUUCAAGGAAGACGAGCUACUAAGAGGAAAAAUAGGGGGCACUUUAGAAACAGAAGAAACAGAGAACGUUGUGGAUUGCUUUAAGAAACAAGAGGACCUCUCUGAAGACAAAAAGCCUGAUCUGCGGAAGAAAUGUCAUCAUCUCGAGGAACAACUCAACCAUGAGAUGCAGGCUAAAGACGAUCUGGAGCUCAAGUGCAGAAAUGCCACCAGCCGUUUAGGGAAACUGGUCAGAGAACUUGACGAGGAGAUGAGUAGCAGACAGAAGGUUGAGUUGUCCCUGAGGCAGCUGGAGAGAGAGAGAGCCCUACUGCAGCACCAGAGCUCAGAGAACCUCCGCAGGGUUGAGCUUGAGACGGAACGUAAACGCACCCUAGAGAACGAAGUCAACAGCCUGCGAGACCAGCUAGAGGAGCUAAAGAGGAGGAAUCACAACGCUCAGGUCUUCAAUGAGAAAAACAUCCACCUGCAGAGACAGCUGGAGGAGGCUACAGCAUUGCUCCAGGGGGAACAGGAGGCCGGGGAGAGGCUGAAAAAGAGCCAGAUGGAGGCUCAAAAGCAGACCCAAAUUCGGGAGCUCAGCCUCCGUGAUCACCAGGAUAAGCUCAGCCUGCUGGAUAACAGCAAAAUGGAGCUGGAGCAGCAGCUGAUCAGCCUCCAGGCAGCCCUAGAGGCAGAGAGGAGAGACCGCAGCCAAGGGUCGGAGACCAUUGCUGACCUGCAGGGGUGUUUAUCAGUUCAGGAGAAUGAGGUUAAGCAGAUGAAGAUCUCUCUUUCCCUGGCCCAGACUGAGGAGAAAAGGCUACAGCAGAAGCUUGCAGACCUGGAAAGAGAGAAGAGCAACCAGGCAAUCGAUCUGACCUUCAAGCUCAAGUCCCUCCAACAAUGUCUGGAGCAGGAAGAGGCAGAGCACAAGGCCACAAAGGCAAAACUAGCGGACAAGAGCCAGAUCAACCAAUCAAUUGAGGAGGCCAAAUCUGAAGCCCUCAAAGUGAUGGAGAGGAGCCUACAAGAGGAACGUAACUCUAAGCUGCAGCUGGAGGGCCAACUUCUGCAGCUCGAGAAAGACCACUCCCUGCUGGUCUGUGACUACAUGCAGGCCCAGAACAUACUGGAAGAACUGCACACAACCAAGGACAAGCUCACCGAGGAGGCAUCAAAUUUGACGCUGCUCCUGGAGCAGGAGAUGCAGAAUCGUAGACUUACCCAGUCUGACCUGAAGGUACAGACCCAGCAGGUCACAGUGCUACGCUCCUCUGAGAAGCAGUUUAAGCAGGAACGUAAUCACCUGCUGGACAAGAAGCACAGCCUGGAGAAACAGAACCAGGAGCUACGCAGGGAGAGGCAAGAGGCUGACGGACAACUGAAGGAACUAAAAGACCAGCUGGAGGCAGAGCAGUAUUUCACGACCCUGUAUAAGACUCAGAUCCGGGAGCUAAAGGAGGAAAGUGAUGAGAAGAAUAAACUGUAUAAGGACGUUCAGCAAAGACUGGAAGAGUAUCAGGAGGAGAGGGACUCCUUGGCUGCCCAGUUGGAGGUGAGCCUUACCAAGGCAGAUUCUGAGCAGCUUGCCCGCUCCAUAGCCGAGGAGCAAUACUCAGACCUGGAGAAGGAGAAGAUCAUGAAGGAGCUGGAGAUCAAGGAUAUGAUGGCCCGUCACCGACAGGAGCUGGGAGACAAGGAGGCCACCAUCAGCUCUCUGGAAGAGUCCAACCGCACGCUGACAGUGGACGUGGCCAACCUGGCCAAUGAAAAAGAAGAGCUGAACAACCAGCUGAAGGAGAAGCAGCAGCAGCUCCAGAAGUCCAAGGAGGAGGAGAGGCAGAUGAACUCUGUGAAGCUCUCCUUUGAGAAGCAGCUACAGAAUGAGAGGACUCUCAAAAUCCAGGCUGUCAACAAGCUGGCGGAGAUCAUGAACCGGAAGGAGGGGGUGCGUGGCGGUCGCCGAGUCAGCAGCGUGGACACGGACGUCCACAGGAAAGAGAAGGAGAACAGGAAGCUGCAGCUGGAGCUGAGGUCGGAGCGUGAGAAGCUCAACAGCACCAUCAUCAAAUACCAGAAAGAGAUCAACGACAUGCAGGCGUUGAUUUCAGAUGACAGCCAGGUGCGUCUGGAGCUGCAGAUGGCUCUGGACAGUAAGGACAGUGAUAUUGAACAGCUUCGCUGUCAGAUCAGCUCUCUCAGUGUCCAUUCUCUGGAGUCCACCAGCAUCAGCAGUGGUAACGACCUGGACAUGGAUGACACCUACCCAGUGCGUAUCACUCACUCCCACACCUCUGAGUCCAUGUCCUUCAAAUACCAGCGCACCCACCAAUCUGUCUGCAUCGACACCCGACCCAACCUCAGAGCCGCUCACACCCUCUUUGAAUCUGACUCUGAGGAGGAGGAAGAGUGCGGAGGGGGUAGCCGGUCAAAUCAUGGUCACCUGCCCUUGGCUUUCACCCAUGACCAAUCCCUUGAGCCUCAGCACGCAGAUGCCAGGUUGGAAGGCUGGCUGUCACUUCCUUCCAAGAACACCAAGAGGUUUGGCUGGGAAAGAAAGUACGUGGUUAUGAGCAGUAGGAAGAUUCUGUUCUACAACAGCGAGGUAGACCGAGAGCAGUCCAACCCCUUCUUGAUCCUUGAUAUUGAUAAGCUGUUCCAUGUUCGACCAGUCACUCAAACAGAUGUUUACCGUGCUGAUGCCCGAGAGAUACCAAGGAUAUUUCAGAUCCUGUACGCCAACGAGGGUGAGAGCAAGCGGGAGCAGGAGUUAGCAGUGGAGCCCCUGCCUCCGAGUGAGCGCGCAUCCUACAUUGGCCACAAAGGUCACGAGUUCAUCCCCACACUCUACCACUUUCCCUCCAGCUGCGAGGCGUGCACGCGGCCCCUCUGGAACGUCUUUAAGCCUCCGCCUGCUCUCGAGUGCCGCCGCUGCCACACCAAGUGCCACAAAGACCACCUGGACAGAAAGGAAGAGGUCAUUGCCCCCUGUAAGGUGAACUACGACAUGUCAACAGCCAAACACCUCCUCCUGUUGGCGGGUUCCCAAGAAGAACAGCAGCGAUGGGUCAGCCGUCUGAUCAAACGUAUACCUAGAAAACACCCCACCACCGUCCCGGCGGGCGGAAGCUCCCCAUUGCAGCCGGCAGCCCACUCAUCUCCCCGGAUCUCAACCCGGCCCUCCCCCAGGAACUCCCCUGCCCUGUCCACCCACCGUAUGGCAAUCAAGUUGCAGCCCAGCCGACAACAACCUGUAGAGAAGCCCAGCUGUGGCCCUAUGCUCCGAAUUAUCCUGCACUGACAACCUCAUCUCACUGACCACUCACCAUUUUUGUUUUUCUGUGGUAGAAAGUAAGUAGCAGACCGCAGUUUGUCUGCCUGCCUGCUUGUCUUUCUGUUUGUCUGUUCUGCCUGUUCAUUUGCUGCUGUGUAUUCUCUUUUAACCAACCAACCAAUCCUUUCCUGAUCUCUUACUGUGAGCUUUACCGUCAUGUUGUAUGUAAUUCACUGGUAAAAACAAACAAACCACAAUGCCUCAAUCCUGCCAUCAAGUUGUCUGCGCAUGAACUGUGUCAUCAUUCAUAUUAAUAGUUCAUUAUCAGGCUCACAAGAAGCCUGAUACUGAACCAUUCAUUUGAAUCAGGUUGUAGCAGGGAAACAUCUAAAACAUGCAGGGCAAGGGGCAUGAGGACCAGGAUUGAGAACCAGUGCAGUAAAUUGAGAUCAGGGUGAAUAUGGACUGUUUCAGGUUGCUUGAGUUUGGCCUUAAGGACUGGAAUUGGUCACUGGAUGAGGACGAUGAUGACGAUGUGUUUGACUUCUAAAGAAGGAAACUGAGGCUAACCUUGUUUACAUGGAGGAGUGCUACGUCCUGUCACAUGGACAUUGUCACUUCAAAAUGCCCGAAAUUGACAUUUCUUAUUCAAUAAUGGUCACGUCAACCAAAUAUUGUGCAAUAUAGAAAGUCCAAUAUAAAUUUUGAAAAUUAUAAUCAUUUUUGUCUACAAACCAAAAUAUCUUAUCUACCUGCCCUUCUUCAAGUGUCAUUUGGUGGUUUGUAAAGUAUUGGCAAAGUUAGUGAGAGUUUGUACAUAAGAGUGAAUGGUCUAUAAGGUGUAUUGCCACAUAGAGAUUACCCUCAAGCAUGUGUCAUUUCAUGUGUUCGUUUUAUUUUUAUGAAGACAAAAUAUUACUUUCCUCAUAUUCUGUACAUCACAAGACCUGCAAAAUGGAUGAAAGUGCAACAUUGAAAUUGUUGUCAGCUGUACACAAUACAUAUUUUUGCUGUGUCCAUUGAACAGGGAAAUGUGAAAAGAAACACUUUUUGCUGUGUCAUUGCCGUGUACACAGCCAGACAAAGAACUGAGUAUGUUAUGUAUAACUAUCUGUCCACUACCUAUCAUGUUUGAAAAAAGAUGAAUAAAUGUUAUGUGGAAGGUUUUAUUGUGCAUUCAUAAAAGUAUAGCCAUGUUUGCUCAAAAAUCUUUUGAUUGCAUGUUUGCUUGUUUUGUAUUAGCUCUUAACCCAUUAAGAUGUUUUACAACACGUUUACAGUAUACUUGCAAAAACCUGAGACAAGUUGAGACCUUUUCUAUGUUCUAAAGGUUACCAGGCCCACGGUCAGCUUUUAUGUAUGGAGAUAACACCGAUACCCAUCAGUGCUAUUACCACCAGCAAAACCACCCAGUAGGACCAUAGAUUAAAACCAACAUGUAAGACUUUUGAUGCCUUUGAUGGUGUAAACAUUGUUGGUUAACUAACAAUGUUCUUCUGGAUCUCAUCAUUCCUGCUUCUUGCUGCCUCGUCUGUAGAGGACAAUGGUAGCCAGGACCCAACCAUUGAGCAUGUAAACCAAGAGUUAGGAUCCGUAAUGUUCCUGGUCAGAACAAUAAAACAAAUACAACCAGAGUAGAUGUGAAAGCAUCUAAACGUAGUGAGAGAUGGUUGUGAUAGCAUUACAUUCUUCACGUUCUUGCAUUGUUUUUCAAUAAACUGAUUACAUCCUA